GACGUAGGGCGCGAGCGUUUGUCCGGAUUUAUUGGGCGUAAAGAGCUCGUAGGCGGUUUGUCGCGUCUGCCGUGAAAGUCCGGGGCUCAACUCCGGAUCUGCGGUGGGUACGGGCAGACUAGAGGUAUGGUAGGGGGAGAAUGGAAUUCCUGGUGUAGCGGUGGAAAUGCGCAGAUAUCAGGAGGAACACCAGUGGCGAAGGCGGGUUCUCUGGGCCUUACUGACGCUGAGGAGCGAAAGCGUGGGGAGCAAACAGG
rnacentral:rRNA from 1 species